rnacentral:rRNA from 1 species
GAUGAACGCUGGCGGCGUGCCUAAUACAUGCAAGUCGAACGCUGAAGGAGGAGCUUGCUCUUCUGGAUGAGUUGCGAACGGGUGAGUAACGCGUAGGUAACCUGCCUGGUAGCGGGGGAUAACUAUUGGAAACGAUAGCUAAUACCGCAUGACAACAGUUCUUGCAUGAUAACUGUUUAAAAGUGGCAACUGCUCCACUACCAGCUGGACCUGCGUUGUAUUAGCUAGUUGGUGAGGUAACGGCUCACCAAGGCGAGGAUACAUAGCCGACCUGAGAGGGGGAUCGGCCACACUGGGAGGGAGACACGGCCCAGAGGCCUACGGAAGGCAGCAGGAGGGAUACGGGGGCAAGGGGCGGAAGACUGACCGAGCAACGCCGAGUGAGGGAAGAAGGGUGUCGGAUCGGAAAGCUCGGUUGUAAGGGAAGAACGAGUGUGAGAGUGGAAAGUUCACACUGUGACGGUAUCUGAACAGAAAGCGACGGCUAACUACGUG